GAAGCUUGCUUCUCUGAUGUUAGCGGCGGACGGGUGAGUAACACGUGGAUAACCUACCUAUAAGACUGGGAUAACUUCGGGAAACCGGAGCUAAUACCGGAUAAUAUUUUGAACCGCAUGGUUCAAAAGUGAAAGACGGUCUUGCUGUCACUUAUAGAUGGAUCCGCGCUGCAUUAGCUAGUUGGUAAGGUAACGGCUUACCAAGGCAACGAUGCAUAGCCGACCUGAGAGGGUGAUCGGCCACACUGGAACUGAGACACGGUCCAGACUCCUACGGGAGGCAGCAGUAGGGAAUCUUCCGCAAUGGGCGAAAGCCUGACGGAGCAACGCCGCGUGAGUGAUGAAGGUCUUCGGAUCGUAAAACUCUGUUAUUAGGGAAGAACAUAUGUGUAAGUAACUGUGCACAUCUUGACGGUACCUAAUCAGAAAGCCACGGCUAACUACGUGCCAGCAGCCGCGGUAAUACGUAGGUGGCAAGCGUUAUCCGGAAUUAUUGGGCGUAAAGCGCGCGUAGGCGGUUUUUUAAGUCUGAUGUGAAAGCCCACGGCUCAACCGUGGAGGGUCAUUGGAAACUGGAAAACUUGAGUGCAGAAGAGGAAAGUGGAAUUCCAUGUGUAGCGGUGAAAUGCGCAGAGAUAUGGAGGAACACCAGUGGCGAAGGCGACUUUCUGGUCUGUAACUGACGCUGAUGUGCGAAAGCGUGGGGAUCAAACAGGAUUAGAUACCCUGGUAGUCCACGCCGUAAACGAUGAGUGCUAAGUGUUAGGGGGUUUCCGCCCCUUAGUGCUGCAGCUAACGCAUUAAGCACUCCGCCUGGGGAGUACGACCGCAAGGUUGAAACUCAAAGGAAUUGACGGGGACCCGCACAAGCGGUGGAGCAUGUGGUUUAAUUCGAAGCAACGCGAAGAACCUUACCAAAUCUUGACAUCCUUUGACAACUCUAGAGAUAGAGCNNNNNNNNNNNNNNNNNNNNNNNNNNNUUCCCCUUCGGGGGACAAAGUGACAGGUGGUGCAUGGUUGUCGUCAGCUCGUGUCGUGAGAUGUUGGGUUAAGUCCCGCAACGAGCGCAACCCUUAAGCUUAGUUGCCAUCAUUAAGUUGGGCACUCUAAGUUGACUGCCGGUGACAAACCGGAGGAAGGUGGGGAUGACGUCAAAUCAUCAUGCCCCUUAUGAUUUGGGCUACACACGUGCUACAAUGGACAAUACAAAGGGCAGCGAAACCGUGAGGUCAAGCAAAUCCCAUAAAGUUGUUCUCAGUUCGGAUUGUAGUCUGCAACUCGACUACAUGAAGCUGGAAUCGCUAGUAAUCGUAGAUCAGCAUGCUACGGUGAAUACGUUCCCGGGUCUUGUACACACCGCCCGUCACACCACGAGAGUUUGUAACACCCGAAGCCGGUGGAGUAACCUUUUAGGAGCUAGCCGUCGAAGGUGGGACAAAUGAUUGGGGUGAAGUCGUAACAAGGUAGCCGUAUCGGAAGGUGCGGCUGGAUCACCU
rnacentral:rRNA from 1 species